UGGGUAACCUGCCUCAAAGAGGGGAAUAGCCUCCCGAAAGGGAGAUUAAUACCGCAUAAUAUGUUUAGGUCGCAUGACUUUAACAUCAAAGGAUUUUCUUUUAGAAAUUCCACUUUGAGAUGGACCCGCGGCGCAUUAGCUAGUUGGUGAGGUAACGGCUCACCAAGGCGACGACGGGUAGCCGGCCUGAGAGGGUGACCGGCCACACUGGGACUGAGCACGGCCCAGACUCCUACGGGAGCAGCAGG
rnacentral:rRNA from 1 species